UACGUAGGGUGCAAGCGUUGUCCGGAAUUAUUGGGCGUAAAGAGCUCGUAGGCGGCUUGUCGCGUCGACUGUGAAAUCCCGAGGCUCAACCUCGGGUCUGCAGUCGAUACGAGCAAACUAGAGUGUUGCAGGGGAGACUGGAAUUCCUGGUGUAGCGGUGAAAUGCGCAGAUAUCAGGAGGAACACCGGUGGCGAAGGCGGAUCUCUGGGCCUUACCUGACGCUGAGGCGCGAAAGCUAGGGGAGCGAACAGG
rnacentral:rRNA from 1 species